rnacentral:rRNA from 1 species
AUGAAUUCCUCCGACGCGGCGGAGGACGACGACGACUAUGAAACCGAGAGCUACUCUGCCAAGGGUGACAAUGACGAUGAUCACACCAAGACCUCUUACACGUCGUUGGCUCACCGGGAUGAGGUUAUCUCAGGGUUCGUCGGCACAAUGAUGACCAGAGCAGAUGCGCUGGCGCGGUUCGACGCGGUGGAGUCGGCGUUGGAGCUCCCGCAGUACAGUCAGAGCAGUCCACGCCUGGAAGGCCGCCCUCGGCAAGGGGAGGGCGGAAGUUGUCGCGCGGCCCCGGCCCCCCGUCGCGCCCCACCUCUUCUUCACCCAGCCGAGCCCAUCGACCUAGCUCCCGACGCAACUUUCAGAUUUUGA